GUGCCGCGUCGCUUUCUUUUCUUCCUCUGGAGCAGUUAUGGCGGCGGCGAAGACCCUGAACCCCAAGGCCAAGGUGGCCGGAGCGCAGGCGGCGCUGGCGUUCAACAUUAGCGGGGCGCGGGGUCUGCAGGACGUGCUGAGGACCAACCUGGGGCCCAAAGGGACCAUAAAGAUUCUUGUUUCUGGCGCUGGAGACAUCAAGCUUACUAAAGACACAGGAGUUGACGAUCAGCCCUGGCCAACAUGGUGAAACUCAGUCUCUACUAAAAAUACAAAAAUUAGCCGGGCACGGUCCUGCACAGUGCGCUGCUUCACGAAAUGGGCCUUCAUCCCAGAAUAAUCACUGAAGGAUUUGAAGCUGUGAAGGAAAAGCCCUUCAUUUUUUGGAAGAAGUCAAAGUAAGCAGAGAGAUGGACAAGGAAACACUUAAAGAUGUGGCCAGGGCAUCUCUUUGUACUAAAGUUCAUGCUGAACUUGCAGAUGUCUUAACAGAGGCUGUAGUGGGCUCCAUUUUGGCCAUUAAAAGAAAAGAUGAACCUAUUGAUCUCUUCAUGAUUUUGUGAUCAUUGACAAGAAACAUAAAUCUGAAACUGAUACAAGAGAAGUGAAUUCUGGCGUUUUUUACAAGAGUGCAGAAAGAGAAAAACUCAUAAAAGCUGAAAGAAAAUUCAUUGAAGAUAGAGUUAAAACAAAUAAUAGAACUGAAAAGGAAAGUCUGUAGUAAUUCAGAUAAAGGAUUUGUUAUUAAUCAAAAGGGAAUUGACCCCUUUUCCUUAGAUGCUCUUUCAAAGAAGGCAUAGUCGCUCUUCACAGAGCUAAAAGGAGGAAUAUGGAGAGGCUGACUCUUGCUUGUGGUGGGGUGGCCCUGAAUUCUUUUGAGGACCUAAGUCCUGACUGCUUGAGACAUGCAGGACUUGUAUAUGAGUAUACAUUGGGAGAAGUUCACCUUUAUUGAGAAGUGUAACAACCCUCGUUCUGUCACAUUAUUGAUCAAAGGACCAAAUAAGCCCACACUUAGAUCAAAGAUGCAGUAAGGGAUGGCUUGAGGGCUGUCAAAAAUGCUAUUGAUGAUGGCUGUGUGGUUCCGGUGCUGGUGCCGUGGAAGUGGCAAUGGCAGAAGCCCUGAAUAAAUAUAAGCUCAGUGUAAAGGGCAAGGCACAGCUUGGAGUCCAAGCAUUUGCUGAUGUGUUGCUCGUUAUUCCCAAGGUGAGCCCGUGGUAGCAGCAGAAGCAGGCAUUAUGGGAUAACGAUUGUGUAAAGAAACAGCUUCUUCAUUCCUGCACUGGUUGCCACCAACAUUCUCUUGGUUGAUGAGAUCAUGCGAGCUGGAAUCUUCUCUGAAAGGUUGAAUUGAAGCUUCCUCUGUAUCUGAGUCUUGAAGACUCUGCAAAGUGAUCCUGAAGAAUACAGCUGUGGAAUUUUUGUCCAAGCUUCAAAUGAGUUUCAAGGGAAUUUUCCCAUGUGAAAAAAGGAGAGAACACUGGCAUCUGUUGAAAUUCGGAAGUUCUGAAAUUAUAAUCACAGUAUUUUUUAAAAAUUGCACUGAAGUGUACACAGAUAAAGCAGGUCUUUCACCCAGUGAACAGGAUGUUUUGCUUUAGCAGCAGUGACAUAAAAUUCCAUGUUAAAUAAGCAUAUAUUACCUACCUUAUUAAAUAUUCCUUGAAAAAGCAG
rnacentral:lncRNA from 1 species